rnacentral:rRNA from 1 species
GAUGAACGCUAGCGAUAGGCCUAACACAUGCAAGUCGAGGGGCAUCACAUGAAGUAGCAAUACGGAUGGUGGCGACCGGCGCACGGGUGAGUAACACGUAUGCAACCUGCCUUCAACAAGGGGAUAACCCGUUGAAAGACGGACUAAUACCCUAUAACACAGGGGUCCCGCAUGGGAAUAUUUGUUAAAGGACAACCGGUUGAAGAUGGGCAUGCGUUCCAUUAGCUAGUUGGCGGGGUAACGGCCCACCAAGGCAACGAUGGAUAGGGGAACUGAGAGGUUUAUCCCCCACACUGGUACUGAGACACGGACCAGACUCCUACGGGGGGCAGCAGUGAGGAAUAUUGGUCAAUGGACGCAAGUCUGAACCAGCCACGUCGCGUGAAGGAAGACGGCCCUACGGGUUGUAAACUUCUUUUAUACGGGAAUAAAGUGCCCCACGCGUGGGGUUUUGCAUGUACCGUAUGAUAAGGAUCGGCUAACUCCGUG